rnacentral:rRNA from 1 species
AUGAACGCUGGCGGCGUGCCUCAUACAUGCAAGUCGCGCGCACGGACGAGAAGCUUGCUUCUCUGAUGUUAGCGGCGGACGGGUGAGUAACACGUGGAUAACCUACCUAUAAGACUGGGAUAACUUCGGGAAACCGUAGCUAAUACCGGAUAAUAUUUUGAACCGCCUGGUUCAAAAGUGAAAGACGGUCUUGCUGUCACUUAUAGAUGGAUCCGCGCUGCAUUAGCUAGUUGGUAAGGUAACGGCUUACCAAGGCAACGAUGCAUAGCCGACCUGAGAGGGUGAUCGGCCACACUGGAACUGAGACACGGUCCAGACUCCUACGGGAGGCAGCAGUAGGGAAUCUUCCGCAAUGGGCGAAAGCCUGACGGAGCAACGCCGCGUGAGUGAUGAAGGUCUUCGGAUCGUAAAACUCUGUUAUUAGGGAAGAACAUAUGUGUAAGUAACUGUGCACAUCUUGACGGUACCUAAUCAGAAAGCCACGGCUAACUACGUG